UGCUACAGUAACAUUUAGAGUUGUGUAAAUAUCUCCUCAGGUCAACACACUUUAUGAAUUUGUCCACUGUGGAAGGCUGUGAAAUACAUUUUGUGAAAAGUAUCUCAGGUGGAGAGAGGUGUGAGAGUAAAGGUUAAGUUCAUUUCAUCAUCAUCAUCUGCUGCAAAAAGAGGUGAGAGGUGCUGAUUAUACUACCUACAAUAUGUGAGACAAGCUGAGAACCGCUCAGAUUGGCAAAAAUCUUCUGCAAUAGCAAUAGUUCAGAUUUAAAAUAGAAGAGCAAGUCAAAAUUCAUGUGAAAUUAUGAUUGUAAAUUGAGGCUUUGUGAAUUUCAAUGAAAAUUAACUGUUAUGUGUUGUCAUUCUAAAUGUUUAGGAUUUGUGACAUUCUAAAACAGGACAACUUUGGUUUCUUUUUAAAAAAGAUUAAUUUUCAUCUACCUGAUAGUCUUCAGUACCAGUAGCUGCAAAUUAGUUAGUAAAAUGUUACUCUGCUGUAGCAUUUGGAUUAAAAUAGUCCAUUAUGCAUGUAUAAAUUGCAUUGAGAUGCUUUUUCUAUUUCUGUUGCAGUAUAUGAGAAGGCAAAACUUAACAGUAGUCAUUUGUCUAGACUGGGGGUUCUCAAACUUGUUCAUAUCGAGAAGCACAGCUUACUGUGUUGUGACCACCUCUCCCAUUCACACCUCCUCUUUGGAAAGUACUGAUUGCUACUAGCUUUAGUCCCUCUUGGUGGCGUAUUAUCUACCACAGCAAUUGCUAUACCCUUCUCCUCAAAUGUAGUAACAUUCUUUAUUAGAGGUAACUCAUUUCCAGGUGCCUUUUUUAAAAAGGCCUUGAGACUCCUCUUUGCAGUGAAUUGUAUGGACACUUUUAGCAGCAGCUGGAACUAAGAACACCAGUCAUCUCUCCAGACCAGUUUGGGAACCAGAUAGUAGAUUGCAGUUAUUUUCUAUCUUCCAUAAGGGGGCCGUCAUGCACAGUGAUUACAGGAAAGAAGAAGAGGAUUUUCUAAACUUAAUGGACAUGAGGCUAAUAAAUAUGCUGAAGCACCUACACUUAAUGGUUGUCUCUCUCACAUACGCGUAUGCUGUCUUCUGUGACAAUCUGAUAGAUGUUAUUGAACUGUGGAAAGUUCACAUGUGGUUAUAACCUACUAAGUGGAAGCAUGGCUUUGCUUUAACAUCAGUUGUGCUGAAACACAUGGAGCCACAGAUAUUCUAUUUGAAGGACAUAGGUUGCUAUUCCAUAUAAAUCACCAGCUGGCAGUUCAGUGGAAAUGUUCCAUCUCUGAAAGGCCAGUUUCAGGAAUGAGAAUUGGGAAACUCAGAAUGACAGCAGCAGCUCUGGCUCUUACAGUCAAUAUGAAUCAUCGGGGUAACCAGCUCUGUGACAACAGUGCAAAACCACCAUGUAGAGUACAGGGAAAGAGGUGACAGUUUGAUCUCAGCAGUACCAGGCAAUGGAGUUACACCAUAUUUACCCAAUUGCACUUGAGAUCAGAAUGUAGCCCACAAGGUCUAAACACAGUGUGAAGAAUUGGACAUCUGCAAGCUCAUUUCUGACUUGAAGUUACAGCCCAGGAAGCAGUGUCUCUCUCCUUAUUUCCUAGAGACGGCAGCAGCAGAGAGCUUUAGCUGCAGUGCUUUUCACAAAGAAGUCAACAGAAAUAAACACAGCCUCAAGGAACCUCUAAAUCUCCAUUACCACCAACAUAAAGUCAAACUGUCUCAGUCUGAAUACGGUGCUUGGCAAUAACUAAUGUGAAACAAAGACACUUCUGUGUAAUGUAAAUAAUUAUUUCAUUAUUCUUGUUGCCAAGGAGAAAACACGAGAAAACAAUUAUAGAUUCAUCUCAAGUACUUGCUGAAUUCCAUCUUAAACAUUUGAUUUUAUUCCAAGGGUAUUAAUAAAGAACUGUUCCUUGUAUAUGUCCUGGUUGUAGGUUAAUCACAGAAUCCACUAAUACAUCACAAGAAAUAUACCAAGUGUCAAGGGCCCCAUAUCAGAGGCGCUCACUACUCACCUAUAAAUAAUGCCUUUGCUGUGAAGAAAUUGUAAACCGCAUACUAUUUCAGCUCCAUAAAACCUGAAAUAGAGCAACAACACUUCAAACUGGCUUCCUUAGUUAAACAAGACAUUUACUACAUUGUGAACACAACUAAGAAAACCAGUUUUUUUAUGAAAGAUGAAUAGUACUGUAAGUUUACAUAACCAUUAUGGGGCGGGGGGGGAAUCCCAUGUAUUUAGUUUUUGCAUCAUUACCCUGUAUAGCUUGCAAUAUGGACGUAAUGCAGUAUUGAAUACUGUUACUUGUGAAUUACUGUAUGUAAUAAAACUGCAGUUAAAAUUAAUCUCUCAUAUCUGCCAUAUCUUUCAAGGAAUGGGGCCUGACAGUUUACAAUAUCACUUUGGUAUCUCUCCUGAAAGCUACAAGGUUUUUAUUAUAACACUACUGUUCAGUUCUAUACACACAACUCCAAACAUUAUGGAAGAUAGCAACUUCCUUUUCUUGAUGCUUUGUUUCCACCAUGGAACACUGUUCCUGAUCUAACCUUUAAUCUUCCUUUACACACUUGGAGAGGUGCAUAGCUGAGCUUCAAGAGGCAACAGUAAAGAAUAAAAAGUGAGAGUCCAGGAAUCUCAUGGGAUCACCUUAAAAUGGAUGAGGUUCUUCAUGCGAGAGAACAUUACACCCCAUCCUUCAAUAGUAAACCUGACUAUAAAAGAAGUCAGUGAA